UUGAAUUAACCAGUGCACACAACUAGUUAAAAACAAACAUCCUUUGACAAUAAGUUUCUAAUUAAAUCAUGACUGUGCCUAGGGCCUAGGCAGCAUGAGAGUGAAGGUGAAUGUGCUGCUACUUCCCACUCCCCUUGAUGAGUAACAAGCACCUGCAUUGAGUAAUGCAAGAGUGAGAUGAAACAUCUCAGCAAGCAAAUUGUUUUGACGAGAUAUUUAAAUCACAAAUUGAAUUAAACAACAUUCUAAAAGAAUCACAAUUAAGAUCAGAAAUACUAGUAGAUAUAGAACUCAGUAGUCCCAAUAUAACCAAUACCAUCUCAUUUCCUCGAACAACCACAAUAGGUUGUAUAACACUUCCCUGCAUCAACAAUACCUGCAAAUAUCACUUCAAUGUAUGCAUAGGAACGCAAUGUAUAGGUCCUCUGUCUUCAUACCUCUAAGGGUAUAAACCACAUCAUCUGCAAAUAUCACUUCAAUGAAUGCAUAUGAAUGCAAUGCAUAUGUCCUCUGCCUCCAUACCUCUAAGGGUAUGAAGCCGCAUCGUACCCCUCCUCGGGCAACGUACGAUGCUAAGUUGUACUGGUACAGUCGGACCAUAGGUCACGACUAAACUUUAGAUGCAAAUGAGUCAUGCAAUGUAUAUGGCAUGUUGCAUUUAUCAAUAAACUUCACUUCCUUCAGAUACAAUACAAACCUCAAAUAAUACUUCAUCUGCCUUCAGGGGUGUGAAUUAAUCUCAUGGGUCAUACUCGAACCAUAAUCAUCAUCAAUAUAUGAUAGAGCAUCAAUAUAAUACAAUCAAUUAAAACAUCAUCAUAGAGUUCAAUUAUGAAAGAAUCCAAUAAUUCUGAAUAUUAGAGUGUAGGCGAUAGAAAUAACAGGUCAAAAUGGUAGCAACCACCGCUACAUUCACUUGCCUUCAAAGAAGAAGAAUGUACUAGGCAUGAUCCGGAGUGUAUACACCUACUAGCGGGCAUAAAACUUAGUACAAAUAUUUCACAAACAUUUGCCAACAAUCAACAAAUCGCUCCUACACUUGAAACCAAGACCCGGUAGAAAGACUCCCACCCUGAACCACAUGCCAAACAGCAGCAGCGUUGUUUGUUAAUUUUGUAUCUUUAAAAUUAUAACAGUGGUGAUAUCAAACAAAUACUCUAGGAGUAUCUACACAAAAUACUCUACAACUUCGGUAUUCAAUGGAUAAUUAAAUUUUGCCAUCUAUAAGUUCUAAAACAUCUGACAAGAUAAUAGACUGAAUAUGUUUCAAACAACAACAUAGUUAACUUCAAAAUUGGAUAUCUCCCAAACUACUCAACCAACAAUUAUGAAAUUCUACUGGAAGUAAGAACUUUUAUCCCUCUACAAAAGUCUCCAUAGUUGGAAGAGCCAAUUCGGCCACUUACUAGAUGAAACCUACCAGUGAACAGACCGGCUCAUUUUUGUCAGGCAAACAGGGACAGCCACAGUAAAACAAACAUAACUGGAGUUUCAAAAUUCAUAUGAAUACACUCUUUAUCAAUCUGAAAAGCUUAUGACAUUAUCUACAACUUCUCUUACAAACCCAAAGUUUAGUUCUGUUGAUAAAUUUGUCUAAAUCUUAAGAGAACAGAUUCUGCAUAGAAUUAUGAGACUGAAAAACUGCUAUAAUCAAACUGCAAUAAAUCUCUGAUCUGAUGUCCGAUUGAGGUGUUCUUUGCAGCCACAGAAAGAUCUACAAAUUAUAUACGACUCAUAGAAAGACUUUUUAUUUUUUUGAGGCUACUAAGACCACGAAAAACUGGCAUGAACAGAAACUGUCGAAUCUGCCACCCUGCAGGGACUAAUUUCGAGAUCAAAAUCUAAUCCCCCAUCUAAUCCAACCAAGAAAGGCUAAUUGCAGGGCCUAAAACUCAUCCAAAACAAGGGAAAGCAUUCAUCAAGUGGAGAAAAGAGAGAGAGGAAAGGAAAUCCAACCAAUUCUUGGAGAGGAACGACGACGAUGGGUGACGGUAUGCCCUCAUCUCCCCUCUCUUCUCUCCCCUUUUCUUCUUCUCUUCUCUUGGGGCAAGGCACAAAAGGGGUG
rnacentral:lncRNA from 1 species